UUACGACCACAUCAUAUUGAAAACACCAGUUCCCAUACGAUCACUGAUAUUAAGUAAUGUCGAGUCUGGUCAGAAUUCAGAUGGGUGACCGGUUGGGAAUAUCAGGUACUGUAAG